rnacentral:rRNA from 1 species
UGGGGAAUAUUGGGCAAUGGGCGCAAGCCUGACCCAGCCACGCCGCGUGAGUGAUGAAGGCCUUCGGGUCGUAAAGCUCUGUGGGGAGGGACGAAAAACUUGCCUGCUAAUCAAGGCGAGCCUGACGGUACCUCCUUAGCAAGCACCGGCUAACUCCGUGCCAGCAGCCGCGGUAAUACGGAGGGUGCAAACGUUGCUCGGAAUCAUUGGGCGUAAAGCGAACGUAGGCGGCUAUGUAAGUCGGGUGUGAAAGCCCUCGGCUCAACCGAGGAAGUGCAUUCGAAACUGCAUGGCUUGAGUAUCGGAGAGGAUAGCGGAAUUCCCGGUGUAGAGGUGAAAUUCGUAGAUAUCGGGAGGAACACCAGUGGCGAAGGCGGCUAUCUGGACGAAUACUGACGCUGAAGUUCGAAAGCGUGGGGAGCAAACAGGAUUAGAUACCCCCGUAGUCC